UACGUAGGGGGCAAGCGUUGUCCGGAAUCAUUGGGCGUAAAGCGCGCGUAGGCGGCCAGAUAAGUCCGGUGUGAAAGUCACAGGCUCAACCUGUGAAUGCCGCUGGAAACUGUCUGGCUUGAGUCCGGAAGGGGCGAGUGGAAUUCCUGGUGUAGCGGUGAAAUGCGCAGAUAUCAGGAGGAACACCAAUGGCGAAGGCAGCUCGCUGGAACGGUACUGACGCUGGAGGCGA
rnacentral:rRNA from 1 species